AUUUAUGGCGGCUGUGCGCGGGAGAUCUUCGGAUCUGCCGGUAUUCUCUAUGCCGGUUCGCCAACCUGCGCACAGCUGCCACCUAA
rnacentral:antisense_RNA from 1 species